AUUGAACGCUGGCGGCAGGCUUAACACAUGCAAGUCGAGCGGGGUGAUGGUGCUUGCACUAUCACUUAGCGGCGGACGGGUGAGUAAUGCUUAGGAAUCUGCCUAUUAGUGGGGGACAACAUCUCGAAAGGGAUGCUAAUACCGCAUACGUCCUACGGGAGAAAGCAGGGGAUCACUUGUGACCUUGCGCUAAUAGAUGAGCCUAAGUCAGAUUAGCUAGUUGGUAGGGUAAAGGCCUACCAAGGCGACGAUCUGUAGCGGGUCUGAGAGGAUGAUCCGCCACACUGGGACUGAGACACGGCCCAGACUCCUACGGGAGGCAGCAGUGGGGAAUAUUGGACAAUGGGGGGAACCCUGAUCCAGCCAUGCCGCGUGUGUGAAGAAGGCCUUAUGGUUGUAAAGCACUUCAAGCGAGGAGGAGGCUCUUUUGGUUAAUACCCAAGAUGAGUGGACGUUACUCGCAGAAUAAGCACCGGCUAACUCUGUGCCAGCCGCCGCGGUAA
rnacentral:rRNA from 1 species